rnacentral:misc_RNA from 1 species
AUUGGCCAUGUAUCAUAGUAAACAUAAUAGUUGCAGUAUUUUGACAAUCGGACAAACUUUCAAUCGGUGGUCAUAAUUCCAUUCCACCUUUUUUCCACAUAAUAUAUUUGUCAUUCACUUUAUCAACAUUCAAAAAGCUAGAAAAUUUAAUUGUUGAAGAUAAGAAAAUAGCAUCACUAAAUAAGGUAAAUGUCAAAACUUUCAAAAACUUUGA